CCUGCCCAAAUUUUUUACAAUAGUAGUUUUCAACUGGGAGCAGUUCUAUCCCCUUAAUAACUGCUGAAGUAGCUUUUUCAAUCAGGAACUAUACACAGUUGUAGCACAAUGACAUCACAAUGGAGAAGGAGACCAGAAAAUCAUGGGACUGUCUCACCAAUGGAUUGGCUUAUCCAAAAUACUAACAGCACCCUUACUGACACACGCUCCCUACGGGGCAGUAGAGAAUGUGACGGUGGGCCACAAGGAACAGUGCAUGUGUUACAGCUGUUAAAUGUCAGCCUGAGAGGCCCAGGCUGCAGAACCUCCUGCUCAGGAAGUGCUUGUCAUAAAGUCACACACCCAACUGGACAACUAGCUGUGAUUUAAACUGUAGUCCCCUAUGCUC
rnacentral:lncRNA from 1 species